rnacentral:misc_RNA from 1 species
GGCUGGAUCACCUCCUUUCUAAGGAAGCACUUCGGUGCAUACCUAGUGGUCAAAACCACGUCGUCAGGGCGCAAGCCCGAACAUACAAUCCAGUUUCCAGGGACCGAGCUCCGCACCAAGACAGGGUGCUCGGUUCUCACCCCGGGCCAGUAGCUCAGGUGGUUAGAGCGCACGCCUGAUAAGCGUGAGGUCGGCAGUUCAAGUCUGCCCUGGCCCACGCAUUUCGAGGGGAGCGGUCGCGGGACCUGCGCCUUGCUCGAGGGAAGCGGCCAACCUGGAGCUCGUCCCGACACGGGGCUGUAGCUCAGCUGGGAGAGCGCGGGCUUUGCAAGCCUGAGGUCGACGGUUCGAUCCCGUUCAGCUCCACCCGGCCUGGCCCUUUCGAAGGGGCAGAGAGACGAGGGCAGACGCCGCGCAAGCGAGCGCGCCCCGCUCGAGAAGAUUUCGAGGACGACCGAUGGUCGCUCCUCCGCUCAUUGACAACUGAAUAAUUAUUAGCGUCCAAGACAAUAGCUGCGGGCACGCGUGACAGAGACUCGGGAUCCGAGCUCUGGGCGCGAGCUCGAUGCGUGCCUUAGGGGUACGGUCAAGCUACGAAGGGCGCACGGUGGAUGCCUAGGCGAUCAGAGGCGAUGAAGGACGUGGACAGCUGCGAAAAGCUCCGGGGAACCGCUAACAGGUUUUGAUCCGGAGAUCUCCGAAUGGGGAAACCCGCGCAGGGAUUACCUGCCAGCCCAUGGUGAAUACAUAGCCAUCGGCAGCCAAGCCAGGGAACUGAAACAUCUAAGUACCUGGACGAAUAGAAAGCAAAUAGCGACUCCCCUAGUAGUGGCGAGCGAACGGGGACCAGCCUAAACCUACCCAGUGCAAGCAUGCAAGCGUUGCUGGGUGGGGGUCGUGGGAUUUCGCGGGAAGAGUUGCAUCUCUUCCGCCGAGUAAAAAAGAGCCGAGUUAGCUGAACGGUUAUGAAUGGCCGGCCAAAGAGGGUGACAGCCCCGUAAGCGAAAACGAAGCUCCUCGGUGACGAAACACCCGAGUACCGCAGGACACGUGAAAUCCGGCGGGAAUCUGGGAGGACCAUCUCCCAAGGCUAAGUACUACUGAUCGACCGAUAGUGAACUAGUACCGCGAGGGAAAGGUGAAAAGAACCCCGGUUAGGGGAGUGAAAUAGUACCUGAAACCGUGUGCCUACAAGCAGUGGGAGCGCUAUGCCCGUAAGGGAAUGCGUGACUACGUACCUUUUGCAUAAUGGGCCUGCGAGUUACGUUUUGUGGCGAGGUUAAGCCGCGAGGUGAAGCCGUAGCGAAAGCGAGUCCUAACAGGGCGCCAAGUCGCGGGACGUAGACCCGAAACCUUAGCGAUCUAUCCAUGUCCAGGUUGAAGGGCGGGUAACACCGCCUGGAGGACCGAACUCACUCAAGUUGAAAAUUGAGGGGAUGAGGUGUGGAUAGGAGUGAAAGGCUAAUCAAGCUGGGAUAUAGCUGGUUCUCCCCGAAAUAUAUUGAGGUAUAGCCUCGGACGAAUUGCGCCGCAGGUAGAGCACUGAAUGGGCUAGGGGUCCUACCAGAUUACCAAACCCAAUCAAACUCCGAAUGGCGGUGACAAGUAUCCGGGAGUCAGGCUGCGGGAGAUAAGUUCCGUAGCCGAGAGGGAAAGAGCCCAGAUCGUCGGCUAAGGUCCCCAAGUCUGAGCUAAGUGUCAAAGGAUGUGGGAGCGCACAGACAACCAGGAGGUUGGCUUAGAAGCAGCCAUCCUUUAAAGAAAGCGUAAUAGCUCACUGGUCAAGCGAACCCGCGCCGAAAAUAUAACGGGGCUCAAGCUCAGCACCGAAGCCACGGGUUCUCGUAAGAGAGCGGUAGGGGAGUAUUCUCAGGGAGACACACGCCGGACGGUAACGACCGGUAUCGGCCCUGAGAAGAGCUUAUGCAGGCAUGAGUAGCGAUAAACCGAGUGAGAAACUCGGUCGCCGUAAGCCCAAGGUUUCCUGGGGAAGGAUAAUCCUCCCAUGGGUUAGUCGGAUCCUAAGCCGAGGCCGAGAGGCGUAGGUGAUGGAAAGCAGGUUAAUAUUCCUGCACCACCAAGGAAGGCGUUGAAGUAAGCGGGGACGGAGAAGGGUAGGCCGAGCACGGUGCAUGGUUACCGUGUUCAAGCCCGUAGGACGAGCUGCUAGGACCCGAUAGGGACAAACGGUGGCUCACAUGUCCGAGAGGUGAUGAGGUCCGGAUUUAUUCCGGGAUACUCGGUGAUCCCAUACUUCCAAGAAAAGCCGCGUACAGAGCCCCUUUGGUGUCCGUACCGCAAACCGACUCAGGUGGGCGGGGUGAAUAUCCCAAGGCGCGUGAGAGAACCCUGGUUAAGGAACUCGGCAAAAUGACACCGUAACUUCGGGAGAAGGUGUGCCGGUGGGCGUGACGAGACUUGCUCUCGGAGCGUCUGGCGGUCGCAGAGAAAUGGGGGUUGUGACUGUUUACUAAAAACACAGGACUCUGCAAAGUCGUAAGACGAUGUAUAGGGUCUGAUGCCUGCCCGGUGCUGGAAGGUUAAGGGGACGUGUCAGCGCAAGCGAAGCACUGAACCGAAGCCCCAGUAAACGGCGGCCGUAACUAUAACGGUCCUAAGGUAGCGAAAUUCCUUGUCGGGUAAGUUCCGACCUGCACGAAUGGCAUAACAACAUCCCCGCUGUCUCGACCAGGGACUCAGCGAAAUUGUAUCGGGGGUGAAGAUACCCUCUACCCGCGGCAAGACGGAAAGACCCCAUGAACCUUUACUGCAGCUUGACAGUGAUUUUCGGGAUGUUCUGCGUAGGAUAGGUGGGAGGCUUUGAAGCUGGGCUUCUGGGUUCAGCUGAGCCAACGUUGAAAUACCACCCUGGGUAUUCUGGAAAUCUAACCUGGGCCCAUGAUCUGGGUCGGGGACACUGUCUGGCGGGCAGUUUGACUGGGGCGGUCGCCUCCAAAAAAGUAACGGAGGCGUG